GUGCUCAACUCGGCAGCACAUAUACUAAAACUGGAACAACACCGAGAAGACUAGCCUGGCCCCUGCAUGAGGAGGAGACGUAAACGCUUGCAAUGUUCCAUAUUUUA